UACGUAGGGGGCAAGCGUUGUCCGGAUUUAUUGGGCGUAAAGAGCGUGUAGGCGGCCACACAGGUCUGCUGUGAAAGCCCCGGGCUCAACCUGGGAAUGGCAGUGGAUACUGGCAAGCUAGAGUGCGGUAGAGGGGUGUGGAAUUCCCGGUGUAGCGGUGAAAUGCGUAGAGAUCGGGAGGAACACCAGUGGCGAAGGCGGCGCCCUGGACCAGCACUGACACUGAGGCACGAAGGUCAGGGGAGCAAACGGG
rnacentral:rRNA from 1 species